GUGGGGAAUUUUGGACAAUGGGCGCAAGCCUGAUCCAGCAAUGCCGCGUGCAGGAAGAAGGCCUUCGGGUUGUAAACUGCUUUUGUACGGAACGAAACGGUCCGGGUUAAUACCCUGGGCUAAUGACGGUACCGUAAGAAUAAGCACCGGCUAACUACGUGCCAGCAGCCGCGGUAAUACGUAGGGUGCAAGCGUUAAUCGGAAUUACUGGGCGUAAAGCGUGCGCAGGCGGUUUUGUAAGACAGGCGUGAAAUCCCCGGGCUCAACCUGGGAAUUGCGCUUGUGACUGCAAGGCUGGAGUGCGGCAGAGGGGGAUGGAAUUCCGCGUGUAGCAGUGAAAUGCGUAGAUAUGCGGAGGAACACCGAUGGCGAAGGCAAUCCCCUGGGCCUGUACUGACGCUCAUGCACGAAAGCGUGGGGAGCAAACAGGAUUAGAAACCCCGGUAGUCC
rnacentral:rRNA from 1 species